GCUUUACACAGUGGGCAAAACGUGGCCGGAACUAAAAAGGACAGUUUAGAUUUCCUCUUCUGAAAAGGGGGGUGAGAUUUAUUUAGUUGACGGAUUAAGGAGGCUUGAUACAAAUUUAAACGUAUCACCCUAAGAUAGUUCAGUUUAUCUGUCCAACAUCAAUUGCGUACAAAUAUUACAAACUCUUUUGGUGUAAGUCGUAUAUAUGGACUAAAACAGCUAGGUAUAUUGUUUUUUAGAAUGAUUUAUUAGAACAUGUAAUGUUUAGUAGUUUUUCAUUUUGUGUAGCUCUCUAUUUGGUAAGUAUUGCCUAAGUCAUUGUAUUUUAUUAUCAUUUAUACAAUGUAAUUGUACAAUGUAAUUGAUUCAAUACUAUAAUCUGAUAAUUCAACUUGACGGCAAGAAGGGAACACAAGAAAUAAUAUAUCAUUGGUCAAGGCUUAUUUAUAUUUUUAGUGUCUGCAAGCAAAAUGCAUAGCUUCAAAAUGUGCCUGCAAAAAUGAAUCAUUUUUAACGUUUCGGGAGCUAAAUUUUGUAGAAUAUGUUGGGAGUUAAAUAUUUUAAAAUGUACAUACCUGCGCAAAUUCGAAAGGUGCCUGCGAGCGACGCUCGUGCGCCAUUUUACAUAUACACUUUCCGAAUUUCCUGCUUGGCAAUUGUGUGGAAACACGACGCCGGGAGGGCGGAUAUCAAUACGGAAAAAUGACUGGA